AUGUCUUCUUCAUCGUCGUUCGAGAAUCCAAGGAAGGUGGUGAAGAAGGUGAUGUCGCUAUCCCAAGCCGAGGGGGACGGCGCCACCGUCCGCCGGAGCAUCGGCGGGCACGAGCUCCGGAACCUGGACCCGUUCCUCCUGCUCGACGAGUUCUCCGUCUCCAAGCCCGGCGGCUUCCCCGACCACCCGCACCGGGGCUUCGAGACCGUCACCUACAUGCUCCACGGGGCCUUCACCCACCAGGACUUCACAGGGCACAAGGGCACCAUCAGGACAGGAGAUGUGCAGUGGAUGACGGCUGGCCGCGGCAUCGUGCACUCGGAGAUGCCGGCAUCCAACGGCGUGCAGAAGGGCCUGCAGCUCUGGAUCAACCUCGCCUCCAAGGACAAGAUGAUCGAGCCACGGUACCAGGAGCUCAAGAGCAAGGACAUCAGCCAGGCCGAGAAGCAUGGUGUGAAGGUGCGGAUCAUCGCAGGGGAGGCCUUCGGGGUGCGGUCACCAGUCUACGCACGGACACCAACCAUGUACAUGGCCUUCACAAUGCAACCAGGGUCGCAGCUCCACCAGCCGAUCCCCGAGGGUUGGAACGCUUUCGUGUACAUCAUUGAGGGGGAGGGUGUAUUUGGCAGGGAGGGCGUUGCGCCGGCGAGUGCGCACCAUUGCCUCGUGCUUGGCGCCGGUGACGGGCUCAGCGUGUGGAACCGGUCUGGUGCGCAACUACGGUUCGUGCUGGCAGCAGGGCAGCCGUUGAACGAGCCAGUGGUGCAGCAGGGGCUCUUCGUCAUGAACUCUCGUGCCCAGAUCCAGCAGGCCAUGCAGGACUAUUACUACGGACACAACGGCUUCGAGAAGGCCAGCCAGUGGAGCUCCGCGUGA
rnacentral:rRNA from 1 species